rnacentral:rRNA from 1 species
AUGGAUCCAAGCCCAUCAAUCAUAUGCUGGAAUGUGAGGGGGCUGAACAACCCAGCCAAACGAGAUGUUGUGAGAGGCUUCGUGAGCACCAUUAGGGCAAAUGUAGCUUGUUUACAGGAGACUAAACUUGAUGUAAUUGAUCACUACUCAGUUAUGCAAUGCUUGGGGCCAUCCUUUGAUGGUUAUGCUUAUUUGCCGGCUGUUGAGACUAGGGGAGGAAUCCUACUUGCUUGGGAUUCUUCUGUGGUGGAUGUGGACCAGCUACAGUGGGACACUGACUUUAUAGUAGGCAUAAUACAUACUAAAGCGGGAGAUCAAUGGUGGUUAACGGUUGUUUAUGCUCCGCAAGGAGAUGAGCUCAAAACAACCUUUCUGGAGUAG